GACAGAGGGUGCAAACGUUGUUCGGAAUUACUGGGCGUAAAGGGCGCGUAGGCGGUCGUGACAAGUCACUUGUGAAAUCUCCGGGCUUAACUCGGAAAGGUCAAGUGAUACUGUCGGACUAGAGUACAGAAGGGGCAACUGGAAUUCUCGGUGUAGCGGUGAAAUGCGUAGAUAUCGAGAGGAACACCUGCGGCGAAGGCGGGUUGCUGGGCUGAUACUGACGCUGAGGCGCGAAAGCUAGGGGAGCGAACGGG
rnacentral:rRNA from 1 species